AUUGAACGCUGGCGGCAUGCCUUACACAUGCAAGUCGAACGGUAACAGAUCUUCGGAUGCUGACGAGUGGCGAACGGGUGAGUAAUACAUCGGAACGUGCCUAGUUGUGGGGGAUAACUACUCGAAAGAGUGGCUAAUACCGCAUGAGAUCUACGGAUGAAAGCAGGGGAUCGCAAGAUCUUGUGCUACUAGAGCGGCCGAUGGCAGAUUAGGUAGUCGGUGGGAUAAAAGCUUACCAAGCCGACGAUCUGUAGCUGGUCUGAGAGGACGAUCAGCCACACUGGGACUGAGACACGGCCCAGACUCCUACGGGAGGCAGCAGUGGGGAAUUUUGGACAAUGGGCGCAAGCCUGAUCCAGCAAUGCCGCGUGCAGGAUGAAGGCCUUCGGGUUGUAAACUGCUUUUGUACGGAACGAAAAGCCCUGGGUUAAUACCCUGGGGUCAUGACGGUACCGUAAGAAUAAGCACCGGCUAACUACGUGCCAGCCGCCGCCGUAAUAC
rnacentral:rRNA from 1 species